rnacentral:rRNA from 1 species
UACGGAGGGGGCGAGCGUUAUUCGGAAUUAUUGGGCGUAAAGAGCUCGUAGGCGGUUCGUCGCGUCGGCUGUGAAAACCUGAGGCUCAACCUCAGGCCUGCAGUCGAUACGGGCGGACUUGAGUACUGCAGGGGAGACUGGAAUUCCUGGUGUAGCGGUGAAAUGCGCAGAUAUCAGGAGGAACACCGGUGGCGAAGGCGGGUCUCUGGGCAGUAACUGACGCUGAGGAGCGAAAGCGUGGGGAGCGAACAGG